GAAACUAACAAGGAUUUUCUUAGUAGCGGCGAGCGAAAAGAAAAUAGUUCAGCACUAAGUCACUUUGUCUUUAUGGCAAAUGUGAGAUGCAGUGUAUGGAAUGUCAAAUUUCUAGUAUGAGAAAUUAACGAUUUAAGUCCUUCUUAAAUGAGGCCAUUUACCCAAAGAGGGUGCCAGGCCCGUAUAACGUUAAUGAUUACUAGAUGGCAUUUCCAAAGAGUCGUGUUGCUUGAUAGUGCAGCACUAAGUGGGUGGUAAACUCCAUCUAAAACUAAAUAUAACCAUGAGACCGAUAGUAAACAAGUACCGUGAGGGAAAGUUGAAAAGAACUCUGAAUAGAGAGUUAAAUAGUACGUGAAACUGCUUAGAGGUUAAGCCCGAUGAACCUGAAUAUCCGUUAUGGAAAAUUCAUCAUUAUGAUUUUAAUAUUUAUAAUAUUAUAAUAAUGGUGUGCAUUUUUUCUAUAAAGGACAUUGUAAUCUAUUAACUUUACAUUAUUUAUCAUAAGAUCAUUAGAUUAUGUUUAUUCAAAUUAUUUUGCUUGCAAUUUAAUAUCGAAUAAAUUCUUUUGAUUUGAUAAAGCGUUGAUAGAUUUAUUAUAUACAGUGCUUAAAUAUUUAUAUUUUAUAAUAUCAUAUUAAUCAAUGAUUUUUAUGUUCAUUAUAUGCACUUGUAUGA
rnacentral:rRNA from 1 species